GAAGACCCAGGUUCAAUUCCCAGCACCCACAAGACCGCCCACAACUGAUUCUGUGGAGCACAGAGCCACCUGAAACAGAGAUUUUAUGACGCUGCAACCACUAGGAGCCCAGACUCUGCCUUGAAAGGGUGUAACUACCAGGACCCUCGAGCCUUUCACCCAUUUAUUUAUUCUUUAGGCUUCUGAGCUGGUGACCAUUGUGAAACCCCAAGUAGGUGGAGGCAGCCUUGUCAACCAGUCAGUCAGCUUGGAAGAGCAACCCCUUCAGGUGUGGAUGCCUGCCACAGUGAACACAUGGAAGUCAGCAAGCAACUGUGGGAGUCACUUCUUUUCUACCAUGUAGGAUUCAGGAUUCAGUCAGAUUCCAGCUUGGUGGCAAGAGCUUUCAUCCACUGAGAAAUCUUCCCAGGCCCUUAGGGUUUUUUUUUUUAAGAUUUUAUUUAUUUAUUAUGUAUACAACAUUCUGCUUCCAUGUAUAUCUGCACACCA